rnacentral:rRNA from 1 species
GAUGAACGCUAGCGGCAGGCCUAAUACAUGCAAGUCGAACGGAUAUAUGUUUUUCGGAAUAUAUAUUAGUGGCGCACGGGUGAGUAACACGUACAUAACUUGCCCUCAAGCGGGGGAUAGCCUUGGGAAACUGAGAGUAAUACCCCAUAGAAUUAUUGGACGGCAUCGUUUGAUAAUUAAAACUACGGUGUUUGGGGAUAGAUGUGCGUCUGAUUAGCUAGUUGGUGAGGUAACUGCUCACCAAGGCGACGAUCAGUAGGGGGCGUGAGAGCGUGGCCCCCCACACGGGUACUGAGACACGGACCCGACUCCUACGGGAGGCAGCAGUAAGGAAUAUUGGUCAAAUGGAGGGAACUCUGAACCAGCCAUGCCGCGUGAAGGAUGACGGCCCUCUGGGCUGUAAACUUCUUUUGGAUGGGGCGAAAAAACGGGAUUUAUCCUGGACUGACGGUACCAUCAGAAUAAGCACCGGCUAACUCCGUG